rnacentral:rRNA from 1 species
AUUGAACGCUGGCGGCAGGCCUAACACAUGCAAGUCGAGCGAGCGGCGGACGGGUGAGUAAUGUAUGGGGAUCUGCCCGAUAGAGGGGGAUAACUACUGGAAACGUUGGCUAAUACCGCAUACGAUAGGAUGAACCCAUAUUGGAUUAGCUAGUAGGGGGGGAAAAGGCUCACCUAGGCGACGAUCUCUAGCUGGUCUGAGAGGAUGAUCAGCCACACUGGGACUGAGACACGGCCCAGACUCCUACGGGAGGCAGCAGUGGGGAAUAUUGCACAAGUGGCGCAAGCCUGAUUCAUCCAUGCCGCGUGUAUGAAGAAGGCCUUAGGGUUGUAAAGUACUUUCAGCGGGGAGGCGUUACCCGCAGAAGAAGCACCGGCUAACUCCGUGCCAGCAGCCGCGGUAAUUC